rnacentral:rRNA from 1 species
AGUGAACGCUGGCGGUAGGCCUAACACAUGCAAGUCGAACGGCAGCACAGUAAGAGCUUGCUCUUACGGGUGUCGAGUGGCGGACGGGUGAGGAAUACAUCGGAAUCUACUUUUUCGUGGGGGAUAACGUAGGGAAACUUACGCUAAUACCGCAUACGACCUACGGGUGAAAGCAGGGGAUCUUCGGACCUUGCGCGAUUGAAUGAGCCGAUGUCGGGUUAGCUAGUUGGCGGGGUAAAGGCCCACCAAGGCGACGAUCCGUAGCUGGUCUGAGAGGAUGAUCAGCCACACUGGAACUGAGACACGGUCCAGACUCCUACGGGAGGCAGCAGUGGGGAAUAUUGGACAAUGGGCGCAAGCCUGAUCCAGCCAUACCGCGUGGGUGAAGAAGGCCUUCGGGUUGUAAAGCCCUUUUGUUGGGAAAGAAAAGCAGCAGGUUAAUACCCCGCUGUUCUGACGGUACCCAAAGAAUAAGCACCGGCUAACUUCGUG